rnacentral:rRNA from 1 species
GACGAACGCUGGCGGCGUGCUUAACACAUGCAAGUCGAACGGUAAGGCCCUUCGGGGUCCACGAGUGGCGAACGGGUGAGUAACACGUGGGUGAUCUGCCCUGCACUUCGGGAUAAGCCUGGGAAACUGGGUCUAAUACCGGAUAGGGCCACUGCCGGCAUGGGGGGUGGGGGAAAGCUUUGGCGGUGUGGGAUGGGCCCGGGGCCUAUCAGCUUGUUGGUGGGGUGAUGGACUACCAAGGCGACGACGGGUAGCCGGCCUGAGAGGGUGACCGGCCACACUGGGACUGAGAUACGGCCCAGACUCCUACGGGAGGCAGCAGUGGGGAAUAUUGCACAAUGGGCGCAAGCCUGAUGCAGCGACGCCGCGUGAGGGAUGACGGCCUUCGGGUUGUAAACCUCUUUCAGCACCGACGAAGCGCAAGUGACGGUAGGUGCAGAAGAAGGACCGGCCAACUACGUGCCAGCCGCCGCGGUAACAC